rnacentral:tRNA from 1 species
GUAAACCAAAAAUGGAGAAACCUAUCUCCCUAAGACU